UAAUACCAGCACCUCGAGUGGUCAGGACGUUUAUUGGGCCUAAAGCAUCCGUAGCCGGCUUUGCAAGUCUUCGGUUAAAUCCACCUGCUCAACAGAUGGGCCGCUGGAGAUACUACAAAGCUAGGGAGUGGGAGAGGCAGACGGUAUUCAGUGGGUAGGGGUAAAAUCCUCUGAUCCAUUGAGGACCACCAGUGGCGAAGGCGGUCUGCCAGAACACGUUCGACGGUGAGGGAUGAAAGCUGGGGGAGCAAACCGGAUUAGAUACCCGGGUAGUCCCAGCUGUAAACGAUGCAAACUCGGUGAUGCAUUGGCUUAUGGCCAAUGCAGUGCCGCAGGGAAGCCGUUAAGUUUGCCGCCUGGGAAGUACGGACGCAAGUCUGAAACUUAGGAAUUGACGGACGUCG
rnacentral:rRNA from 1 species